ensembl:misc_RNA Metazoa_SRP Metazoan signal recognition particle RNA
GCCGGGCACGGUGGCUCAUGCCUGUAAUCCCAGCACUUUGGGAGGCUGAGGCAGGUGGAUCACUUGAGGUCAGGAGUUUGAGACCAGCCUGACCAAUAUGGUGAAAUCCUGUCUCUA